GGUUAUACGUGCCUAUGGGCUAUUACCAUUCUAGGAGUCCCGAGUUCAAUUCCGGGUUUCGAACAAAAUUGUUUGCAUUUUUUUCCUCUUUUACCUCAACAGGAAACAAAAAAACAUUUUGGGUAUAACUAGAAAUGCAAGUCAUCGCUUGCUCGGACUAUUUUAAUCGUAAAAUACCUCUAGAUUUGUUGUGCAAACUUUUCUACCAGAAAUCUUGCUCUGAUAUAUCAAGUAUAGCUUAUUUUCUGAAAGGAAAUUUUAUCUCCAUGGUAAUUUAGAGAAGUCGUUUUAUGUUUUUUUAAGCAGUUUUCUUAAUAUCUGGAAAAACCGGGAUAAAAUGUCGGAGAAACGUAAAAUGUACCUAAUGUAGGUACAAGUAAACAAAUAUUAUGGCCUUUUUUUUCUGUGUAACUUUUCUACCAGCAAUUUCGCUCAGAUUUAAAAUGGUAGCACCUUUUCUGAAAGGAAAUCUGAUUGAAAAAAUAUUUUAGAGAGAUAAUUUUACUAUUUUCCCAUUUAUGGGAACCUAAAAAUCGGAACAAUGUCUGGUA